UACGGAGGGUGCGAGCGUUAUCCGGAAUUACUGGGUUUAAAGGGUGCGUAGGCGGCUUUGUAAGUCAGGAGUGAAAGUUUGCGGCUCAACCGUAAAAUUGCUUUUGAUACUGCGAGGCUAGAAUUAGGAUGAGGUCAGCGGAAUGUGGCAUGUAGCGGUGAAAUGCAUAGAUAUGCCAUAGAACACCAAUUGCGAAGGCAGCUGGCUAGACCUGGAUUGACGCUGAGGCACGAAAGCGUGGGGAGUGAACAGG
rnacentral:rRNA from 1 species